rnacentral:rRNA from 1 species
CCUACGGGUGGCAGCAGUGGGGAAUAUUGCUCAAUGGGGGAAACCCUGAAGCAGCGACGCCGCGUGAAGGAUGAAGGUUUUCGGAAUGUAAACCUCUUUUAGUAGGGAAGAAAAUGACGGUACCUGACGAAUAAGCACCGGCUAACUCCGUGCCAGCAGCCGCGGUAAUACGUAGGGGGCAAGCGUUAUCCGGAUUCACUGGGCGUAAAGGGAGCGUAGGCGGGAGUGCAAGUCUGGAGUGAAAGGCUGUGGCUCAACCACAGGACUGCAUUGGAAACUGUACGGCUGGAGUGCAGGAGAGGUAAGUGGAAUUCCUGGUGUAGCGGUGAAAUGCGUAGAUAUCACGAGGAACACCCAUGGCGAAGGCGACUUGCUAGAACGUAACUGACGCUGAGGCGCGAAAGCGUGGGGAGCAAACAGGAUUAGAUACCCCAGUAGUC